rnacentral:rRNA from 1 species
ACGAACGCUUGCGGCGUGCUUAACACCUUCAAGUCGAACGGAAAGGCCCUGCUUUUGUGGGGUGCUCGAGUGGCGAACGGGUGAGUAACACGUGAGUAACCUGCCCUUGACUUUGGGAUAACUUCAGGAAACUGGGGCUAAUACCGGAUAGGAGCUCCUGCUGCAUGGUGGGGGUUGGAAAGUUUCGGCGGUUGGGGAUGGACUCGCGGCUUAUCAGCUUGUUGGUGGGGUAGUGGCUUACCAAGGCUUUGACGGGUAGCCGGCCUGAGAGGGUGACCGGCCACAUUGGGACUGAGAUACGGCCCAGACUCCUACGGGAGGCAGCAGUGGGGAAUAUUGCACAAUGGGCGGAAGCCUGAUGCAGCAACGCCGCGUGCGGGAUGACGGCCUUCGGGUUGUAAACCGCUUUCGCCUGUGACGAAGCGUGAGUGACGGUAAUGGGUAAAGAAGCACCGGCUAACUACGUG